rnacentral:rRNA from 1 species
UAUGGUGACUAUUGCGGUGGGGUCCACCUCUUCCCAUUCCGAACAGAGAAGUUAAGCCCACCAGCGCCGAUGAUACUGCCGCAAGGUGGAAAAGUAGGUCGUUGCCAGUU